rnacentral:rRNA from 1 species
AUUGAACGCUGGCGGCAGGCCUAACACAUGCAAGUCGAGCGAGCGGCGGACGGGUGAGUAAUGUUUGGGAAACCGUGUGAUGGCGGGGGAUAACUACUGGAAAAGGUAGCUAAAACCGCACACCAUCAGAUGUGUGCAGUGGUGAGUAGCUAGUAGGUGCGGUAACGGCUCACAUAGGAGACGAUCCCUAGCUGGUCUGAGAGGAUGACCGGCCACACUGGAACUGAGACACGGUCCAGACUCCUACGGGAGGCAGCAGUGGGGAAUAUUGCGCAAUGGGCGCAAGCCUGAUGCAGCCAUGCCGCGUGUGUGAAGAAGGCCUUCGGGUUGUAAAGCUCUUUCAGCUGGGAGGCGUUACCCGCAGAGGAAGCACCGGCUAACUCCGUGCCAGCAGCCGCGGUAAUUC